UACGUAGGGCGCAAGCGUUGUUCGGAUUUACUGGGCGUAAAGGGCGCGUAGGCGGCGUGUUAAGUCAGCUGUGAAAUCUCCAAGCUCAACUUGGAACGGCCAGCUGAUACUGAUGUGCUAGAGUGCAGAAGGGGCAAUCGGAAUUCUUGGUGUAGCGGUGAAAUGCGUAGAUAUCAAGAGGAACACCUGAGGUGAAGACGGGUUGCUGGGCUGACACUGACGCUGAGGCGCGAAAGCCAGGGGAGCAAAC
rnacentral:rRNA from 1 species